GGAUGUGAGGGUGAUCUGACUUUGAUGUCUAUCACCCCACUGAUGGUCAGGUUGAUUCGGCCGAUCUGGCUGGCUAGGCGGGAGUCCCUUUACAUGCUCAUGGCUCCACAUGCAUCCCUCCUGAAGUUGCACACUCAGAACAGAGUCUUCCCCAAAUAGAGUUGAACCAUUCUUCAGUCAAGGGUAUAUGAGUAACUGUGUUCCCUGGCUAGAACCUCCAAACAAGUUCUCAAAGAUAACAGAAACUUGCCCACCUCCCAUAGCUGCCAUGUCCACCCAACCACCAACCCUGCU
rnacentral:snRNA from 1 species